rnacentral:rRNA from 1 species
CAGCCGCCGCGGUAAUACGGAGGGGGCUAGCGUUGUUCGGAAUUACUGGGCGUAAAGCGCACGUAGGCGGCUUGGUAAGUUAGAGGUGAAAGCCCGGAGCUCAACUCCGGAAUUGCCUUUAAGACUGCCGAGCUAGCAGGUGAGAGAGGUAAGUGGAAUUCCGAGUGUAGAGGUGAAAUUCGUAGAUAUUCGGAAGAACACCAGUGGCGAAGGCGACUAUCUGGGCCAACACUGACACUGAGGCACGAAAGCGUGGGGAGCAAACAGGAUUAGAUACCCCCGUAGUCCCUGUCUCUUAUAC